AGCCCCGUGGUGUAUUUAACAUCUCGGAUUGCAAAUCCGAGGCUGUGGGUUAACGGCCCACCGGGGCUU
rnacentral:tRNA from 1 species